UACGUAGGGGGCUAGCGUUGUCCGGAAUCAUUGGGCGUAAAGAGCGUGUAGGCGGCUCGGUAAGUCCGCUGUAAAAGUCAAAGGCUCAACCUUUGAAUGUCAGUGGAUACUGCCGGGCUAGAGUCCGGAAGAGGCGAGUGGAACUCCUGGUGUAGCGGUGGAAUGCGCAGAUAUCAGGAGGAACACCAACGGCGAAGGCAGCUCGCUGGGACGGUACUGACGCUGAGGCGCGAAAGCGUGGGGAGCGAACAGG
rnacentral:rRNA from 1 species